ACUGCAUCGUGGGUUGCAGUUGUCGAUAGUCUCCUCUCCUCUGCAGUUAUCAACGAUUCAGUAGCCCGCUCCCACUUCUUAUUUUUAGGGUUGUUUCCUCUCUAAACACCUAAACUUGUGUCGCCCUUCUUUAUCACCUAAACUUGGGUUGCAGUUGUCGAUGGUCUCCUCUCCUCUGCAUCGUCUCAGAUAAUCCGAACAGCUUCACGAGUAACGUCAAUAUUGAUAAAGAGUGUUUAACUUGAAAAUCUACAAUUGUUUUCAAUUGUUUUCAACUUCUGUAGAUAUAUCACUAAAUCCUUACCGCAAAUUCCACGAAUUCAUCAUCGCCGCCGAUGAAAUUGAUAACCGGAGCCGGAGGGUUGAUGAACAUCUAUGACGUUAGGGUUGUGGAGCUUCAUUUUUUCAUUCUCUGGUCGCUUCAUAAAACAAUGAUAAUGGAAGGUAUGAACCGAAUGUUACUUCCAAAUUAUUUACUGAUUGUUUUCAACUUUUGUAGAUAUAUUACUAAAUCCUUACCGCAACUUCCAAGAUGGUGAUUUAGGGCUUGGUUUCAAUCACCAUAUGUUACUUCCAAAUGUGUCACAAGCGUGACUUAGUUCUCUAGCGAUGGUGAAGAUAUAUCCCUCCGAUCAGUACGUACCCACUCGGAUCCAUCACCCAGACGUUCGCCGGUCAUGUCUCAACUCUUUAUCUCGCAGCUUUCUCGAUCAAAAAUGGGGAUUAUGGAUAUUGUCCCGGCCGAAGAUCCCUUCAUUAAGGUUAGGCUCCUUGUAGAACUUGGUGAUGGGGUUGUGGUUAGUGAUCAAGUAGCUAAUCUCACAAGGGAUGCAAUUUUGUUCCUUAAGAGAAUUGAUGUGGACAAAUAUAUUUCUCAGGGUCAAAUGGAAGAGCUUACGAGUUGAGAAGCAAAGGUUACAUUAGCACACAUUGAAUGCAAACAGUGAAGUGCAGUCUGAACAUGAGCAGCAAGCCCUUCCUAUAUGUGCAGAUUUGAAUACUAAAGCAAGUAAGUGAUGGUAUUAAUUACAAACCCUUUGUUCUUUUUGUUACUCAAACAAUUUUCUUAUUUAGUUUUCUUAUACUUGAUUAUAUAAGUUUUAGCAAAUAUUUUGUUU